rnacentral:lncRNA from 1 species
CUUCACUCUCUCUCCUUCCCCCCUCCCUUUCUGCACAUCUUGCAUCUCAGAAGCCCCCUCCCGGAAACUAGAUACAACUCCAGGGGAAGGUGAGGUUGAAAUCCACAAGUUCACUGAGAUAAAGUUUCUGACAAUGCAAAGAAAGGGAGGCUUGAAAUCAAAAUUAGUUUCUAUUUCUUACAUAAAUGUCUGGACUAGAAUUGUGUCCACUGCUCAGAUCUUACUUAUAUUCAGGGAUGACGUAUCUCAUGGAAGAACAGGGCUCAACGAGCCACUUAAAUGUCUUCCUAUCAAAUGUUAAGGUUCUAGAAACCAAAUGGUGGGUAUAUUAUCCAACAUAUGCCGUGAAAGCAGAGCCAAUCCUGGGGGAAAGCUUCUCUCCUAAUGGUAAGGUGUCCAUAUCCUCUGCCCCAAGAACCAAGACAAGUGAUCUGACAAGUGUGAAGACUGCUUUUCAACAUGAAAAAGAGUUUUCUUAAACUCAAGCAUGAUAUUGGCUCUACUUUGAAUAUCAGUUACGAAAAUUCAUAACGAGCUGAGGUAUCUUCACUAACAUUGCAAAUUAAUUUCUUGUAUUCAUCACAAUGACAUUUAUGUGUAUUUGAAAAGUAAUCCAUAUGGAUGAGCAUAUUUUUCAUUCACUCUACAGACGGAACAUGCACGCUGGUUUGCAGAUCCCUUGCAGUGACUCUACAGCUCCCAGGAAUCUGAGGUUCACAAGGUGAAACCUACCAGGCCAAACAAUUUAAAAUUGGUUUUGUUUUGAAAAUCCAAUUGUAAGCCCAUCUGUGUUUGCUCAGCCCUGUGUGUGCAACAGAGGUGCUGAAUGAAGACCUAUCGAUGAUUGAUUGAUACGUUAAAGAUUAUUUCCUCCUUCCUCAGAAUGCUACACUUCGCUCAUCAAUGGAGCUCAAGAUGUAAAAGUCUGGUUUAAGAGACAUUGAAUCUAUUCUGCCUUUUAUUAUCCCUUUCUUAUAAGUUGACUUUUAAGAAAUCAAUGACUGUGUGGAGAGUUCUAACUGGGUACGUAAUAAAAUAACCAACUGUGGGGGUGGGCAGGGGGCCCUAUCGCACCAGGAAGCUUGUUUAUUGGUUGCAUUAGACCACUAAAGUGGAAGCACUGAGAUAUUCUGGAAAGAACACAGCUUGGGGGCCAACAGAUCUGGGUUCAGAGCCUUACUGCAUCACCUACAAGUUGUGUCUCUUUAGAAAAUUUACUUAA